CGGCCUGGGCUACACACGUGCUACAAUGGUCGGUACAAAGGGUUGCCAAGCCGCGAGGUGGAGCUAAUCCCAUAAAACCGAUCGUAGUCCGGAUCGCAGUCUGCAACUCGACUGCGUGAAGUCGGAAUCGCUAGUAAUCGUGAAUCAGAAUGUCACGGUGAAUACGUUCCCGGGCCUUGUACACACCGCCCGUCACACCAUGGGAGUGGGUUGCUCCAGAAGUAGCUAGUCUAACCUUCGGGAGGACGGUUACCACGGAGUGAUUCAUGACUGGGGUGAAGUCGUAACAAGGUAGCCGUAGGGGAACCUGCGGCUGGAUCACCUCCUUA
rnacentral:rRNA from 1 species